rnacentral:rRNA from 1 species
UACGUAGGGACCGAGCGUUGUCCGGAAUCAUUGGGCGUAAAGAGCGUGUAGGCGGCUAUUUAAGUCCUGCGUGAAAUCCUGCGGCUCAACCGCAGACGGUCGUGGGAAACUGGAUGGCUAGAGUGCGGGAGAGGAGAGUGGAAUUCCCGGUGUAGCGGUGAAAUGCGUAGAUAUCGAGAGGAACACCUGCGGCGAAGGCGGGUUGCUGGGCUGACACUGACGCUGAGACACGAAAGCGUGGGUAGCAAACAGG